AUUGAACGCUGGCGGCAGGCCUAACACAUGCAAGUCGAACGAGUGGCGGACGGGUGAGUAAUGUCUGGGAAACUGCCUGAUGGAGGGGGAUAACUCCUGGAAACGGUAGCUAAUACCGCAUACCAUCAGAUGUGCCCAGAUGGGAUUAGCUUGUUGGUGGGGUAACGGCUCACCAAGGCGACGAUCCCUAGCUGGUCUGAGAGGCUUACCCGGCAAAAUGGGACUGAGGACAGGGCCAGAACCCUACGGGAGGGAGCAGUGGGGAAUAUUGGACAAAGGGGGCAAGCCUGAAGCAGCCAUGCCGGGGGGAAGGAGGAGGGCUUUGGGUUGGAAAAGACGUUCAGCGGGGAGGAGUUAACCGCAGAAGAAGCACCGGCUAACUCCGUGCCAGCAGCCGCGGUAAUUC
rnacentral:rRNA from 1 species